CCCCUCUCGGGGACGCAUCUGGAGACUUUCCAGUAUUCUACCGGUCUCGUCUGCAAGAGGGAGAAUCAAGCAGAGGCAUACCCAUUCCAUUCUUAGCUUGGGCAGUGGCUAGAGAGUGGAAAGCAUUCUGCUACAAGU